rnacentral:rRNA from 1 species
UAAUACAGAGGGUGCUAGCGUUAAUCGGAUUUACUGGGCGUAAAGCGUGCGUAGGCGGUUUGAUAAGUCGAUUGUGAAAGCCCCGGGCUUAACCUGGGAAUUGCGGUCGAUACUGUCAGACUCGAAAACGGUAGAGGGAGGCGGAACUCCAGGUGUAGCGGUGAAAUGCGUAGAUAUCUGGAAGAACACCGAUGGCGAAGGCAACCUCCUGGGCCUGUUUUGACGCUGAGGCACGAAAGCGUGGGUAGCAAACAGG